UGCAAGUCGAGCGGUAACACAGAGAGCUUGCUCUCGGGUGACGAGCGGCGGACGGGUGAGUAAUGUCUGGGAAACUGCCUGAUGGAGGGGGAUAACUACUGGAAACGGUAGCUAAUACCGCAUAACGUCGCAAGACCAAAGUGGGGGACCUUCGGGCCUCAUGCCAUCAGAUGUGCCCAGAUGGGAUUAGCUAGUAGGUGGGGUAAUGGCUCACCUAGGCGACGAUCCCUAGCUGGUCUGAGAGGAUGACCAGCCACACUGGAACUGAGACACGGUCCAGACUCCUACGGGAGGCAGCAGUGGGGAAUAUUGCACAAUGGGCGCAAGCCUGAUGCAGCCAUGCCGCGUGUAUGAAGAAGGCCUUCGGGUUGUAAAGUACUUUCAGCGAGGAGGAAGGCAUUAAGGUUAAUAACCUUGGUGAUUGACGUUACUCGCAGAAGAAGCACCGGCUAACUCCGUGCCAGCAGCCGCGGUAAUACGGAGGGUGCAAGCGUUAAUCGGAAUUACUGGGCGUAAAGCGCACGCAGGCGGUCUGUCAAGUCGGAUGUGAAAUCCCCGGGCUCAACCUGGGAACUGCAUUCGAAACUGGCAGGCUAGAGUCUUGUAGAGGGGGUAGAAUUCCAGGUGUAGCGGGUGAAAUGCGUAGAGAUCUGGAGGAAUACCGGUGGCGAAGGCGGCCCCCUGGACAAAGACUGACGCUCAGGUGCGAAAGCGUGGGGAGCAAACAGGAUUAGAUACCCUGGUAGUCCACGCCGUAAACGAUGUCGACUUGGAGGUUGUGCCCUUGAGGCGUGGCUUCCGGAGCUAACGCGUUAAGUCGAC
rnacentral:rRNA from 1 species